AGUGAACGCUGGCGGUAGGCCUAACACAUGCAAGUCGAACGGCAGCACAGAGGAGCUUGCUCCUUGGGUGGCGAGUGGCGGACGGGUGAGGAAUACAUCGGAAUCUACUCUGUCGUGGGGGAUAACGUAGGGAAACUUACGCUAAUACCGCAUACGACCUACGGGUGAAAGCAGGGGAUCUUCGGACCGGCCCGAUUGACUGAGCCGAUGUCGGAUUAGCUAGUUGGCGGGGUAAAGGCCCACCAAGGCGACGAUCCGUAGCUGGUCUGAGAGGAUGAUCAGCCACACUGGAACUGAGACACGGUCCAGACUCCUACGGGAGGCAGCAGUGGGGAAUAUUGGACAAUGGGCGCAAGCCUGAUCCAGCCAUACCGCGUGGGUGAAGAGGGCCUUCGGGUUGUAAAGCCCUUUUGUUGGGAAAGAAAUCCAUCUGGUUAAUACCCGGGUGGGAUGACGGUACCCAAAGAAUAAGCACCGGCUAACUUCGUGCCAGCAGCCGCCGUAA
rnacentral:rRNA from 1 species